rnacentral:rRNA from 1 species
UGAAUGCGAGAUGCUACGGCGUCGAAGCAGUCUAUGUCAUACUUCCAAGAAAAGCUUGCACUGUCAUAAACAAAUAAUGCCUGUACCAUAACCGACACAGGUGGGUAGGUAGAGUAUACUAAGGGGCGCGAGAUAACUCUCUCUAAGGAACUCGGCAAAAUGACUCCGUAACUUCGGGAGAAGGAGUGCCUUAUUUAUAAGGUUGCAAUAACAAGACCCAAGCAACUGUUUAUCAAAAACACAGGUCUCCGCUAAGUCUAAGACGAUGUAUGGGGGCUGACGCCUGCCCAGUGCCAGAAGGUCAAAGAAGUUGGUUAGCAUUAGCGAAGCUGAUGACUGAAGCCCUGGUGAACGGCGGCCGUAACGAUAACGGUCCUAAGGUAGCGAAAUUCCUUGUCGGGUAAGUUCCGACCCGCGCGAAAGGCGUAAUGAUUUGGGUACUGUCUCAGAGAGGGACUCGGUGAAAUAGACUUGUCUGUGAAGAUGCGGACUACCUGCACCUGGACAGAAAGACCCUAUGAAGCUUUACUGUAACCUGAAAUUGAAAUUGGACUUUAUUUGCGCAGUAUAGGUGGGAGGCUUUGAAGAUAUUCUUGCGGGAAUGUUGGAGCCAUCAGUGAGAUACCACUCUUGUAAUGUUAGAUUUCUAACUUUGUAUCAUUAUCUGGUCAAAGAACAGUUUCAGGCGGGCAGUUUGACUGGGGCGGUCGCCUCCUAAACGGUAACGGAGGCGCACAAAGGUUUCCUCUGAACGGGUAGAAAUCGUAUCUAGAGUGUAAAGGCAUAAGGAAGCUUGACUGUGAGACCUACAAGUCGAGCAGGGACGAAAGUCGGUCUUAGUGAUCUGACGGUGCUGAGUGGAAAGGCCGUCACUCAACGGAUAAAAGUUACUCUAAGGAUAACAGGCUGAUCUCCCCCAAGAGUUCACAUCGACGGGGAGGUUUGGCACCUCGAUGUCGGCUCAUCGCAUCCUGGGGCGGUAGUACGUCCCAAGGGUUGGGCUGUUCGCCCAUGAAAGCGGUACGCGAGCUGGGUUCAGAACGUCGUGAGACAGUUCGGUCCAUAUCCGGUGUAGGCGUUAGAAUAUUGAGAGGAGCCUUCUCUAGUACGAGAGGACAGAGAAGGACACACCUCUGGUGUACCAGUUAUCGUGCCAACGGUAAACGCUGGGUAGCUAUGUGUGGAGCGGAUAACCGCUGAAAGCAUCUAAGUGGGAAGCCCACCUCAAGAUAAGUAUUCUCACC